UACGUAGGGGGCGAGCGUUUGUCCGGAUUUAUUGGGCGUAAAGAGCUCGUAGGCGGCUUGUCGCGUCGUCCGUGAAAACCCACAGCUCAACUGUGGGCUUGCGGUCGAUACGGGCAGGCUGGAGUUCGGUAGGGGAGACUGGAAUUUACGGUGUAGCGGUGAAAUGCGUAGAUAUCGUAAGGAAGACCAGUGGCGAAGGCGGGUCGCUGGACAGUUCCUGACGCUGAGGCACGAAGGUCAGGGGAGCAAACGGGG
rnacentral:rRNA from 1 species